AACGAACGCUGGCGGCGUGCUUAACACAUGCAAGUCGAACACUAAAGGGACUUCGGUCCCGAGUAGAGUGGCGCACGGGUGAGUAACGCGUAAGUAAUCUACCCCUGCGUUCGGAAUAACCCACCGAAAGGUGAGCUAAUACCGGAUACGUUUAUCUUGAUGCGAAUGAUGAUAAAGAAAGGUGGCCUCUUCAUGAAAGCUACUGUGCAGGGAUGAGCUUGCGUACCAUUAGCUAGUUGGUAGGGUAAUGGCCUACCAAGGCGACGAUGGUUAGCGGGUCUGAGAGGAUGAUCCGCCACACUGGAACUGGAACACGGACCAGACUCCUACGGGAGCAGCAGUGAGGAUAUUGCGCAAUGGGGGAAAGCCUGACGCAGCGACGCCGCGUGGGGGAUGAAGGUUUUCGGAUUGUAAACCCCUUUCAUGAGGAAAGAUAAAGUGGGUAACCACUUAGACGGUACCUCAAGAAGAAUCCACGGCUAACUUCGUGCCAGCAGCCGCGGUAAAGUG
rnacentral:rRNA from 1 species